rnacentral:tRNA from 2 species
CAUUAAGAAGCUUUGUACAGCGAUAGCCUUUUAAGCUAUAGAUGGGACGUCACAACCCUCCCCUCAAUGA